rnacentral:rRNA from 1 species
AGGUGGAGCCUGCGGUUUAAUCGGACUCAACGCCGGGAAACUCACCAGAUAAGACAGCUGAAUGAUAGUCGGGCUGAAGACUCUACUUGACUAGCUGAGAGGAGGUGCAUGGCCGUCGUCAGUUCGUACUGUGAAGCAUCCUGUUAAGUCAGGCAACGAGCGAGACCCACGCCAACAGUUGCCAGCUCGUCCUCCGGGAUGGUGGGGACACUGUUGGGACCGCCUCUGCUAAAGAGGAGGAAGGAAUGGGCAACGGUAGGUCAGCAUGCCCCGAAUUAUCUGGGCUACACGCGGGCUACAAUGGGUGGGACAAUGGGUAUCGACACCGAAAGGUGAAGGCAAUCUCCUAAACCCAUCCGUAGUUCGGAUUGUGGGCUGCAACUCGCCCACAUGAAGCUGGAAUCUGUAGUAAUCGUGUCUCAAAAUGGCGCGGUGAAUAUGUCCCUGCUCCUU